ensembl:lncRNA
UAGGAAAAUUAUUUAAUGUGAUCCCAGGGCCUCUCACAAGCCUAGAGGGACUUGGGCUCCAUUCUUUGAGAGUCCCAGGAUAUUAAGAAUUUUUAAAAUGUCAAAGCAGUCCUAAAAAAAUUGCUUUGCAUUUUAUAAUCUCUUCUUUCAAUUCUGUUAAGAAGCCUAGACUGUGUGUAUAACAUUUUCCAAAAAUAUCCCCAAAAGGUCUUUUAAGGGAGGCCCUUUGUCACUUUGACACCCUUUCUGAUUGCAGCAAAAGCUGUGUGUUUGUGGUCUCAGCGCCUGGAGAGGACACAGCAUGUUACGACUGCAAGCUCUGCCUCUGCUCGAUCCGUGGCUCUGCUGCUGGGUUAAAUGUUAACCUGCGGAAAGAGGGACAGUUAGCCGUAGGGAGAGGAGCAGGAAGAAGGAAACAGGAGCACACGCUGCCACGUGGAGGACCUGUUCUCACCGUCCUCGGACCAGGACUGCCGAGGAGCACUGCUCCAUCCAGCCACAUUUGCUUUUCCUUCCAGGUGGCUGCCUUCUCAUUGUGUCCUCACAUGGCAUGGAGAGAAAGAGAGAACCUGGCCCUUGGUGUAGAAGACCUGCUACAACUUGGCAAUAACCAACUAACUCCGUCUUUGCAGGCAUUGCUCUCCCUAUAAUUUUUUUCGAAUUCCUGCAUCGUCACACCUGCCAUGUUUUUUCCUUCCCCAAGGGCAUUCUCCUCCCAGGUCACCAGUGCAACCUUCAGCACUUGAGCCGCCCCUUUGUACAAGAGACUGACCAUGUCCCACCUAACCAGGACUAUAAUCCUCAUCUUAUCCUCAUCAGCACAGUCCUCAUCUUGCCCCUUGUCUUCUCAGGCCACUGUCACUACCACUCCUGUUAGUCCAAGUCCCCUGAGAAGCAAAUGCCAAGAAGUGAUUAAGCCUCCAAAGUUUCCAUGAGAGAAAAUGCCUACAAGAUAUAAAAUGGAGCAAGAACUCAAAAGUCCUGGGGACUUGUGCAAGCCCAUGAAGCAGGGCUGGCCCCAGCGAAGGAGGGAGUGGGGGUGGCAGGUGGGGUGGAAGCAUCUAAGACUGCUGUGAAGUCUAGGGAAGUUCUGGCAAGGCUGUCGGAGCGUCCAUCCUGCCCGACAAAGUCAGCUGCCCGAGGAAUUAGCAUCCUUGUGCACUCAGGUGCAGGCCGCAGGCAGCACAGACUCAGGGAAAAUGCUGCUAUGGAUUUCAGAGCUAAGCAACUGAGAACCUAGGUCAGUUAUGACCCCAGUACUUGGAGGCCUGCCAGUUCCAAUCUCACACUACGCUCUGUUCUAUGGUGCUUCCACGCCUUUUCCGAUUGCAACUUGGCAGAAGGAAAAAUAUAUAUGAUAUUCACCAAGGGAAUGAGCCUUUAAGAUUUUUUAAGUCCUUGACUGUUGAUCUACAUAUCCACUUGGGAGAUGGUCAGUGUGACACAGCGGUUAAGCCACUGCUUGGAACACUGGCAUCCCAUAUCUGAGUGCCAGUUCAAAUUCUGGCUCCUCUGCUUCUGAUCCAGUUUCCUGCAAAUGCCUCUGAGGAGGCAGCAGUUGAUGGCUCAAGUGCUUGAGCCGCUGCUACCCAUGUGGGAGAUGCAAACUGAAUUCCAGGUUGUUGGCUUCAGCUUGGCACAGCCCUGACUAUUGUAGGCAUUUGGGGAGUGAACCAAAUGGAUGGAUUGGAGUCUCUCUCUCUCUCUCUCUCUCUCUCUCUCUCUCUCUCUUUCUCUCUUUCUCUCAUUCUGCUUUUCAAGUAGAUGGAAAUAAGUAAACAUUUAAGAAAUAAAUAACACUAUUGCCAAUAAAUUGCA